rnacentral:rRNA from 1 species
CCUACGGGGGGCUGCAGUAAGGAAUAUUGGUCAAUGGACGCAAGUCUGAACCAGCCAUGCCGCGUGGAGGAUGAAGGUCCUCUGGAUUGUAAACUUCUUUUAUUUGGGAAGAAACUCCCGAUUUCCAUCGGGAUUGACGGUACCAGAUGAAUAAGCACCGGCUAACUCCGUGCCAGCAGCCGCGGUAAUACGGAGGGUGCAAGUUCACUCCGGUUACACUGGGUUUAAAGGUGCAGGUGAGUGGCUGGUGAAAUCUCCGGGCUUAACCCGGAAACUGCCAUUGAUACUAUUUGUCUUGAAUACUCUGGAGGUGAGCGGAAUAUGUCAUGUAGCGGUGAAAUGCUUAGAUAUGACAUAGAACACCCAUUGCGAAGGCAGCUCACUACGGAAAUAUUGACGCUGAGGCACGAAAGCGUGGGGAUCAAACAGGAUUAGAUACCCUGGUAGUC